UGUGUUGUUUUUACAUGGCCAGCUUGUAAAAAGCUUUACUGGAAAAAUUUAAGUGUGACUUUAAACAAUUCCAGAUUUACUGGUAUAAGUCUCUAUGGGAGUAUCUGUAUUCUACAAUGAUCUUUUUUUUAAUUUCUUUUUUUCUUCUAGACUGACAAACCAAAUUUGUGACUAAAUUGAAAUAAUCCCCUCUGAUUCCACAGGAAGCAUCCCCACAUGAAGAGCUGCUUGCAAGAAAUCAAGUGGUCAUAUAUUAAAUCUUGCUGUGAAAGGAUUUGAUAUGUCUUUGUUUUAUUUUGUAUUGUGAAGGACUGGGAGUGUACAUUGUCAGCCACCGUGCUCGACUGAGACUGCUGAGUCAGUCAGUUGAUCAUUGAAAAUGUUCAUUAAAUUGCUGAUACUCUGUUUUGGGCUAAGAUUGUCUGGAGGUUUGCAUCAGUUUGCAGUACCUAGGUGCUUGAGGUUUCCUGUCAUGCUUGUUAGUCUGAUACACUGUGAAAACACACUGCUUCUGUUGGCAGGUUGCAGCUUAAGCACCAUUUGUACGGCAGCAGAUUUCUGGUUUGUCUUCCUCACUGCUACCUGCUCGUGCUGUGGUGAAGUUACCCAGGAAUCUCCACAGGAACAAGAGCAGACAGCAGGAACAGGUUUUCAUAACUAUCACUUCUUAUAUGAGACCCUGCACACAGCAGAGGUACAUUUUUGGAUAUGGCAUUGCCCAAGUUUUAAUCUCAUCCCUCCUGAUGACUGCAUGGUUGCAGGGAAGAAGCACAGAGUGCAGUUAUCGUCAUUAGGUGGGGGCUUGGGGCUAAUGCAGAAGACAAGGGAGAGCUACUUCCUAGUGCCCCUGCUGAAAGCAAGGCAGCAUCUUCUCAGUGUCACUCUAGUGGGGCUGGUACUCUCCCUGCUGAUGCAGAGGCUCUCUCUGGUGCUUGGUAUGGUUUAAGCACCACUGGUAUCAAAAUGUGGGACUCUAUUCUAGCAUAGCUAAGAUGACAAGUUUCUUCCUCAAAAAGUGUGAUACUGGAGUUCAGAUAGUGGCUAGGUGGUCACAGCCUAGCAUGGAAGAGAAGGAGCAGAGACCUUUUAAAUAGAAGAUUACCAACAAGUUAUUCCAGAGAAUAUAACCACUACUUGCCCUGAAAAUAUUUAUCUCUUCUCUAAUAGCUGAAUUUGUAAUGACAUUUUAAUGCCUGUGGAAACUAGAGCCGCAAGAACCUUUUUUUUCAGAUACCAGCUUUGUAUCUCAGUCUUUCAAAGGCAGAAGCUGGUGCAGUGUGUGCUGGGAGCAGCCAGGCUGAGCUAACUUUGGCAGCCCUUGCUGCAGCUGCAGCCAAGGACAGGCAGUGUCUGCGUGACUGGUGGCCCUCACUGCAUCCCCUGCCUUGGGACUACCUGCUCUGCAGCUGGGGAGGCAAUUUCAGAGAGGAAGAAGAAAAGGGAGAGCUCUAAAACUUCCUUCUCCCCUAGUCAGCCUGUUUCUGUGCAGGACUCUUCUCUGAUAAGAAGGUGUUUUUGGUAUGGGUGUUUUUGGAGGACAUGUACCUGCCGGCAUGACUGCAGAAAGUGUAAGACAUGACAAUGGUUUUGAGAUCCAUCACAGAGAGCUGUAGGUUGAAUCUCUUGGCAAGAGUUUAAAAGAGAAAAAAAAAAAAAAAAAAAAA
ensembl:lncRNA